rnacentral:rRNA from 1 species
UACAGAGGGUGCGAGCGUUGUUCGGAAUUAUUGGGCGUAAAGGGCGCGUAGGCGGUGCGGUAAGUCACCUGUGAAAUCUCCUGGCUCAACUGGGAGCUUGCAGGCGAAACUGCCGUGCUGGAGUGUGGGAGAGGUGCGUGGAAUUCCCAGUGUAGAGGUGAAAUUCGUAGAUAUUGGGAAGAACACCAGUGGCGAAGGCGGCUCACUGGCCCGUAACUGACGCUGAGGUGCGAAAGCGUGGGGAGCAAACAGGG